rnacentral:rRNA from 1 species
GACGAACGCUGGCGGCGUGCUUAACACAUGCAAGUCGAACGGAAAGGCCCUGCUUUUGUGGGGUGCUCGAGUGGCGAACGGGUGAGUAACACGUGAGUAACCUGCCCUUGACUUUGGGAUAACUUCAGGAAACUGGGGCUAAUAACGGAUAGGAGCUCCUGCUGCAUGGUGGGGGUUGGAAAGUUUCGGCGGUUGGGGAUGGACUCGCGGCUUAUCAGCUUGUUGGUGGGGUAGUGGCUUACCAAGGCUUUGACGGGUAGCCGGCCUGAGAGGGUGACCGGCCACAUUGGGACUGAGAUACGGCCCGGACUCCUACGGGAGGCAGCAGUGGGGAAUAUUGCACAAUGGGCGGAAGCCUGAUGCAGCAACGCCGCGUGCGGGAUGACGGCCUUCGGGUUGUAAACCGCUUUCGCCUGUGACGAAGCGUGAGUGACGGUAAUGGGUAAAGAAGCACCGGCUAACUACGUG